rnacentral:tRNA from 1 species
UCCCUGGUGACUCAGACGGUAAAGCGUCUGUCUACAAUGCAGGAGACCCAGGUUCGAUCCCUGGGUUGGGAA